AACCUAAAGAAUUUGGCGGUGUUUUAGUCUAUUUAGAGGAAUCUGCUCUUUAAUCGAUAAUCCUCGUUUUAUCUUGCUCUUUUUUGUUGUCAGCAUGUAUACCUCCGUUAUAAGUUUAUUUUAUUAGAAUAUGAAUUUACUUAAAUCUUUAUUUUGAUUUAUUUCAGGUCAAGGUGCAGUUUAUAAAUGAGUUGUGGUGGAUUACAAUAAUUUUGAUUAAACGGAUUUUAAUUUUAAAAAUUUAUUGAAGGUGGAUUUAAUUGUAAUUUUAAUUAUAAUGUUAUUUUGAUUUUAGCUCUAAAAUAAGUACACAUCGCCCGUCGCUCUA
rnacentral:rRNA from 1 species